rnacentral:rRNA from 1 species
CAAGUCGAACGAGAAAGUCCGCAAGGAUGAGUAAAGUGGCGUACGGGUGAGUAACACGUGGAUAAUCUACCCUCUAGUGGGGAAUACCGCUGGGAAACCGGCGACAAUACCGCAUAAGCUCGAGAGAGGAAAGCAGCAAUGCGCUGGAGGAGGAGUCCGCGGCUGAUUAGCUAGUUGGUGAGGUAAUGGCUCACCAAGGCUCAGAUCAGUAGCCGGCCUGAGAGGGCACACGGCCACACUGGCACUGAAACACGGGCCAGACUCCUACGGGAGGCAGCAGUGGGGAAUCUUGCACAAUGGGGGAAACCCUGAUGCAGCGACGCCGCGUGAGCGAUGAAGCCCUUCGGGGUGUAAAGCUCUUUCGGCAGGGAAGAUGAUGACGGUACCUGCAGAAGCAGCUGCGGCUAACUACGUGCCAGCAGCCGCGGUAAUACGUAGGCAGCAAGCGUUGUUCGGAGUUACUGGGCGUAAAGGGUGUGUAGGCGGUUGGAUAAGUGUGGUGUGAAAUCUCCCGGCUCAACUGGGAGGGUGCGCUACAAACUGUCUGACUAGAGUGCGGGAUGGGAAAGUGGAAUUCCUGGUGUAGCGGUGAAAUGCGUAGAUAUCAGGAGGAACACCGGUGGUGUAGACGGCUUUCUGGACCGUAACUGACGCUGAGACACGAAAGCGUGGGUAGCAAACAGGAUUAGAUACCCUGGUAGUCCACGCCCUAAACGAUGCAUAUUUGGUGUGGGUCAUUCAUUUGAUCCGUGCCGGAGCUAACGCGUUAAAUAUGCCGCCUGGGGAGUACAGUCGCAAGGCUGAAACUCAAAGGAAUUGACGGGGGCCCGCACAAGCGGUGGAGCAUGUGGUUCAAUUCGACGCAACGCGAAGAACCUUACCUAGGCUCGAACGGCUUCGGACAAUCCUUGGAAACAGGGACUUCCC